CGGGUGAGUAACACGUGGAUAACCUACCUAUAAGACUGGGAUAACUUCGGGAAACCGGAGCUAAUACCGGAUAAUAUUUUGAACCGCAUGGUUCAAAAGUGAAAGACGGUCUUGCUGUCACUUAUAGAUGGAUCCGCGCUGCAUUAGCUAGUUGGUAAGGUAACGGCUUACCAAGGCAACGAUGCAUAGCCGACCUGAGAGGGUGAUCGGCCACACUGGAACUGAGACACGGUCCAGACUCCUACGGGAGGCAGCCAGGC
rnacentral:rRNA from 1 species